AUACCAGCACCCCGAGUUGUCGGGACGAUUAUUGGGCCUAAAGCAUCCGUAGCCUGUUCUGCAAGUCCUCCGUUAAAUCCACCCGCUUAACGGAUGGGCUGCGGGGGAUACUGCAGAGCUAGGAGGCGGGAGAGGCAAACGGUACUCAGUGGGUAGGGGUAAAAUCCAUUGAUCUACUGAAGGCCACCAGUGGCGAAGGCGGUUUGCCAGAACGCGCUCGACGGUGAGGGAUGAAAGCUGGGGGCGCAAACCGGAUUAGAUACCCGGGUGGUCCCAGCUGUAAACGAUGCAGACUCGGUGAUGGGUUGGCUUCGAGCCAACCCAGUGCCGCAGGGAAGCCGUUAAGUCUGCCGCCUGGGGAGUACGGUCGCAAGACUGAAACUCAAAUGAAUUGGCGGGG
rnacentral:rRNA from 1 species